rnacentral:rRNA from 1 species
UACGAGGGGUGCAAGCGUUAAUCGGAAUUACUGGGCGUAAAGCGUUCGUAGGCGGUUGAUUAAGCAAGAUGUGAAAGCCCAGGGCUCAACCUUGGAACUGCAUUUUGAACUGGUCAACUAGAGUACUGUAGAGGGUGGUGGAAUUUCCAGUGUAGCGGUGAAAUGCGUAGAGAUUGGAAGGAACAUCAGUGGCGAAGGCGGCCACCUGGACAGAUACUGACGCUGAGGAACGAAAGCGUGGGGAGCGAAC